CCCCCUUCCCCCUUCUUUCUCCCCAACUCCUGUCCUCUUCUCCCCUCCUCCUCCAUCUCCAACUCUCCCUUCCCCCUCCUUCUCUCCUCUCCCUCCUCUUCCCCCUCUUUCUCUCCCCUUCCCCCUUUCUCCUCCUCCUCCUCUCCCAACGGUUCCACCAAAGUUAGCUCUGCGGCGCCAGUGAGUUUAUUGGGCUUACUCACAAAGCAUAGGUGAAAGGUCGCAGACAGGACUGUGGGUGCUUCCUGGCAAAAGGCUGCGCAUGACUCUCCCACAGCUGAGCCUAGCAGAACUUCUGAGGCCUUCCGAGGACACUUGGUUUUGAGUUGAGAAGGGAAGUUCACAGUGGUUGGCCUUCUUUCAGGAUCCUAGGGAAGGCAUGACUCUGUCCCCGCCCACCGGGCCACAAGCCUUCCUCUGCGCAGGCUCCUCAGGUGUGACCGGGUUUGUGAGGAAUGAGAAGAGGAGGGCUGGGUUCAAAGCCUGAGUUUAAUUAGUCUCCAGCUUGCCCUGGAAACAGCGGGUGAGUCACUGACACCCGCAGAAUCUGACUUGUGAAAUCAGGUCUCAUCUCUGCUCCCCAAGCCUAGGGCGGGCUUGGCUAAUGGAUCCAAGUCUGGCCAGGCCUUGGAAAAGUCUCCUAUUGGCCAGAGAGCAAUAGACUGUUCUUCAGGAAUGCUGAGGCCACCAGCACAACUGGAAGUUGUGGAGGGCCACCUCCUCCAGGAAGUCUUCCUUCUCAGACUCCAGUGACACAGAGCUCUGCCCACAUACACGCCUUGCCUCAGCACUCUGCCCUCUGGCCUCUCCUAUGCACUUCUUUAUCUUACAAUAAGCAUGGGAGCCUGUGGAGUUCCGAUCUGCUGCUGCAGGGGCCAGGGGGAUGCCCCUCAAUGUCACCAACAUCCAGCCCUCACAAACCUGCCAGGAGGAGGUGGGCAGCAGCGAAGGAGGACACAGUAAGACAGUUAUUUCUCUGAUCUGGGUCUUGAAGAGAAUACAGGGACCAGAGCCUCGGUGUGCAGGGGCUGUGAGACAUCCUCCCAUGCAGCCUGCACACGGGCAGCCCUGUGAGCUGUCAUUUCCACCCCGUUCUUGCAAAAGAAGGAGCUGAGGCUCUGAGAGGCUGAGCUGCGCUCUUGGCGGGGGAGUCAGCAGAACUGGGGGUGCCACUUCCCUCUUCCUCCUGGCUGUCAGUGUCCAGAAGGAAGGAGCACCCCGACAAUGCGUACUUCCUUGACUCAUGGGGAAACUGAGGUCCGUGGCAGGGAAGGGGCUGGCAGUCACGAAGCAUGAUGGGCUGAGUUAAGACUUGAAUCCAAAUCCCUGGAUCGUUUGUUUUAUUUUUGUUGCACAGCCACUCUCCUUUUCUGGUCCUGGCCCCUCUAGCUGUUCCCUGGUGGCUCCUAAGGGAACUUUAAGAAGGCUAAGAGCUCCUUUAGCUAAAGUCUACUUUAGCUUGUAAAGGUAAAUGUGUUCUUUCAGACUCCUGUCCCACCAGGUACAGCCAUGGUCCACAGCAGCCAUGGAGCCAGAUGUCCUGGGAGGGACCCUGCGCUGUGAUUUGGGGCAUCCCCAUGAGUGUGCCUCCUAUGCCUGCUGGAACAAUAUAUCGCUGCUAGCCUGUCCCUCUGGUGACCAUCCCUGCUGUCAUUGACAGCCAACAGUCAGCAGGGCUUUCCACAAUGUUGCCACAGUGGCUCUGGCCUCAUCCAGUGUGGGCAUCCCUGCGCAUGCAUGGCUAACAGAGUAUGGAUUAGAGUGAGGCAAGAAGGAAAUCUAGUUUAACACAACUUAGAUAGCUGGCAUUGGUUCAAAUGUCUGAGUCUGACCCCAAGCUAUUUAUUGUAAGCAAAUUUAAGGAUGGUACAACUUUGGGGAAAAAAGUUUCCUGCUUGCAAUUAUAACAAUAAAGCUUAAGGUAUGGCUACAUCAAA